AUUGAACGCUAGCGGGAUGCUUUACACAUGCAAGUCGAACGGCAGCGCGGACUUCGGUCUGGCGGCGAGUGGCGAACGGGUGAGUAAUGUAUCGGAACGUGCCCAGUAGCGGGGGAUAACUACGCGAAAGCGUAGCUAAUACCGCAUACGCCCUACGGGGGAAAGCAGGGGAUCGUAAGACCUUGCACUAUUGGAGCGGCCGAUAUCGGAUUAGCUAGUUGGUGAGGUAACGGCUCACCAAGGCGACGAUCCGUAGCUGGUUUGAGAGGACGACCAGCCACACUGGGACUGAGACACGGCCCAGACUCCUACGGGAGGCAGUAGUGGGGAAUUUUGGACAAUGGGGGCAACCCUGAUCCAGCCAUCCCGCGUGUGCGAUGAAGGCCUUCGGGUUGUAAAGCACUUUUGGCAGGAAAGAAACGUCGCGGGCUAAUACCCCGUGGAACUGACGGUACCUGCAGAAUAAGCACCGGCUAACUACGUG
rnacentral:rRNA from 1 species